rnacentral:lncRNA from 1 species
GGACUCCAGUGGCUGGAGUGGAAGUGAGGAAGAGGGAGAGCUCCUGGGCACCAGAAUGAAUGGGGAGGGUCCUUUAGGGCACUGUGAGGCCAUUAGCUUUUACUCCUACUGAGACUGGACAUCCCAGGAGAGUUUCAGAGCAGAGAAGUGCUAUGACUGCUCUUGAAGUUUAAGAGGACCAGGUGGCUGGCUUUGCUGUGUGUCAGAGAACAGGAGCAGAAACAGGGAGACCAGCUGGGAGGUGACUGCAAAAGUCCAGUGUAUCAUCUUUCUUGCUGCCCUUGAAGAGUGGUGUCCAGUGAAUCUUUCAAAGAAUGAUACUGAGCUUCAUUGUUGAUGAACAAAAAUGCAAAUCUCACCCAGAGCAUGCAGGAACAUGCUAUAAUCACUACACUCCUAGAAUGUGAUCUCUUUCAAUAUUGACUGCAUCCAUGCCUUCCACACACUUGCACCAGUUGGGAGGAUGGAGAUGUCAUCUGGGCAGAGGGAGAAGAGCAGUACCAUUCAGAGGUCUGUCCCUCUUAAGAUAUAUUCUCUCUGUCAACCUAGAACUCAAAGGGCUGUGUGAAAAGUUUACUGUGGAAAAAGAAAUUGAAAAAACUGCCACUAAGUAGCAAUGGAAGGACUUUUCCCGCUAAGAUGAGGAACUGCUCAGAUCACCAGCUGCUUCAGGUUACCAGCCCACACCUGUCUGUCUCACCUCUGACAACCUUGGUAAAGAAACCAAGGCUUAGAGACCUGCUCACAGUCGUUUCGUGAGGGAAUGCAACAUCUGGGUCUAGGGUCCAAAUCUAUCUCUGCUGUGAAGAGGAACUCAUACAGGAGAUCUACAUGAUUACCAAUUCUUGGCCUUGCAGUGGAGGAUAUUAAUUUUAAGUACCUGUGAAAUGAAGUUCUUAAAACCUAAGAUUCCCCAAAACUCCAGUUAUCAACAAGGUUAUAUAGGAAUCAAAGCGAGGCGUUUGGAGUAGAUGCCGAGAUCACCUCUCCCUCACACCUCUGCUGACCCCAGCUACCUGCAAUCCUGCCAGGACCAUUCUGGAGUACCUUUCACUGAAGACAAAUUUAUUGUAAAAUUUCUACUGGGAUUCAUUGUAG